rnacentral:misc_RNA from 1 species
AGUAUUUAUUGAGUUUUUUUGUAUUUAAACCGCUAGUUUGGUCUGGUUUGAAACCGUCGAUUCAAUCUGAUUCGGAAUCGCCGAUUCACGGUUCCUAAAAUCUAUGAACCUAAAUCAAACUGCUAAAGGGCAAUUUCGGUCCGAUUCGAAGCCAGUUCUAGUUCUGAUCAUUUUCAGUCUGAUUUUGAUCGAACCGGUUCUUGUUCAAAACCAAACCGUGGCCACCUCUUUGGGUAUGAGCCAUCAUAGGCUUUGCGAGUCAUGGGUGGCCAAAG